GAUCAAUUGUUACAGAAAUUUAACCUAAUUCUUCGGUUAUCUUUGCUGCACAAAGAGGCGGCAAAGAUUUUACUGCGCUUGGAAUGUAUGCACUCCCGUGACUCAUUGUUCUGCUUUUCUACUCUGCGAGGGUUUCUCGCCAUGGAAUCUUCCGCUUCGUCGUUGCUCAUGGCGCUUCUAAGUUUCUCGGCGACCUUCCGUCUAGUGGCUUACCGUUCCUUCUUCAAAUCCGGUAAUGCUUUUUCUCGAAUCGCACUUUGAUUUGAAAUUUGCUCUUUUGUGUUCUGUUCUGUUCCGAAUUUAGAUAAGGAAAAAUUCAGUACGCACAGUUUAAUCGAUCAUUUUGACCUGAAGCCUCGGAAAUUAGACAAUUUCGUGUUUUGUAAUAAUGCAUUUGAGUCUCAGAUGGCAUUUAUAAGAGGAGUUGAAUCGUCUACGUUAUUGAAUUAUAAAAGAAUGCUUUAAGGUUCUCUCGUAUGCCUACUGUCAUUUUGCAGGCUUCCAUAAUAUUAGCCAUCAAGGACCAGAUGUUUACAGGAUGAAUUACUUGCCCGCCUAAGAAGCGCUGAUGUUGACAACCGCUAAAGGAGUUGAGACACCGGCAAUCUCCAUGAACAUGAGCCAAGCAACCCAAAUCGAGGAAGUUGUGGAUUACUUUCUUUCUCAACAUUUAAAUGUGUAAAAUUAGGAACAAAGCAUAAUAUCUUCAAGUUGAACUGACGGUGGUUUUGGAAAACAAAAGUUCGUCAUGGUUAUUUGUAUCCAUUUUGAUGAUGAGAAAAAACGUUCUUACCUAAAUUAUUGAGAUUCUUACCA